rnacentral:lncRNA from 10 species
AAGAGAAGAAAAUCCUGUCAAUUGGGACAACAAGGUUGAACCGGAGGACAUUAUAUUAAGUGAAAUAAGUCAGGCACAGAGGACAAAUACUACAUAAUCCCACUCAUAUAUGGAACCUAAAAAAGUUGUCUCAUAGAAAUAGAGUGAAAUGUUGGUUACCAGAGGCUGAGGUUGCCAGGUGGUGGGAGUGGGGCAAUGUUGGUCAAAGGAUAUAAAAUUUCAGGUAGCUAGGAGGAAUAAGUUCAAGAGAUCUAUUGUACAACCUGGUGACUG